rnacentral:rRNA from 1 species
GAUCCUGCGGGAGAUUGCUGCUAUUGGGAUUCGACUAAGCCAUGCAAGUAUCCUAGCAAUAGGUGCGAAAGGCUCAGUAACACGUCGGUAACCUGCCCUGUGGUCAGGGAUAACCUCGCGAAAGUGAGGGUAAUACCUGAUAAGGAACAAUACCUGGAACUGGUAUGUUCUCCAAACUCGAGCCGCAGGAUGGGCCGGCGGCGGAUUAGGCUGUUGGCGGUGUAACGGACCACCAAACCUCCGAUCCGUACGGGCCAUGAGAGUGGUAGCCCGGAGAGGGACACUGAGAUACUGGUCCCAGCCCUACGGGGUGCAGCAGGCGCGAAACCUUUACAAUGCACGCAAGUGUGAUAAGGGGAUCCCAAGUGCUCAACAUUGUUGGGCUUUUGCUAAGUGUAAAUAGCUUGGCGAAUAAGGGGUGGGUAAGACUGGUGCCAGCCGCCGCGGUAACACCAGCGCCCCAAGUGGCAAUCGCGUUUAUUGGGCCUAAAGCGUUCGUAGCAGGUAUUGAAAAUCUCUUGUGAAAUCGGCAAGCUUAACUUGUCGGCGUGCAGGAGACACUACAAUACUCGAGACCGGGAGAGGUUAGAAGUAUUUCUUGGGUACCGGUAAAAUGGGUUAGUCCAAGGAGGACUACCGAUGGCGAAGGCAUCUAACCAGAACGGAUCUGACUGUGAGGAACGAAAGCUAGGGGAGCAAAACGGAUUAGAUACCCGAGUAGUCCUAGCUGUAAUGCUGCGAGCAAGGUAUUGCGCACCCCACGAGGAUGCGCAGUGUCGAAGAGAAGUCGUUAAGCUCGCCGCCAGGGAAGUACGGUCGCAAGGCUGAAACUUUAAGGAAUUGGCGGGGGAGCACCACAAGGGGUGCGGCGUGCGGUUCAAUCUAACUCAACGCAGAGAACCUCACUAGGCCCGACGGCAGAAUGAAGGUCAUGCUGAAGACAUUACCUGACAAGCCGAGAGGUAGUGCAUGGCCAUCGUCAGCUCGUGCUGUGAAGUGUCCUCUUAAGUGAGGCAACGAGCGAGACCUGUACCCUCUAUUGCUAACAAAACCUACGGGUUGAUUGAGCACUUUGAGGGGACUGCCCUGGAAACGGGGAGGAAGGUGCAGGCUACGGUAGGUCUGUAUGCUCCGAAUGGUCUAGGCUACACGCGCGCAACAAUGGUAGGGACAAUGGGAUGCAACCCCGAAAGGGGAAGCUAAACCUCUAAACCCUAUCCAAGUUCAGAUCGAGGCUUGCAACUCAGCCUCGUGACGCUGGAAUCCCUAGUAAUCGGGUGUCAUCAUCGCCCGGUGAAUAUGUCCCUGCUCCUUGCACACACCGCCCGUCAAAUCAACCGAGCAGGGUUUAGGUGAAAUCCAACUAUUUUGGUUGUAUUGAACCUAAACUCAGUGAGGUGGAUUAAGUCGUCACAAGGUC